rnacentral:rRNA from 1 species
UACGGAGGGUGCAAGCGUUAUCCGGAUUCACUGGGUUUAAAGGGUGCGUAGGUGGGCAGGUAAGUCAGUGGUGAAAUCUCCGGGCUCAACCCGGAAACUGCCAUUGAUACUAUCAGUCUUGAAUAUCGUGGAGGUAAGCGGAAUAUGUCAUGUAGCGGUGAAAUGCUUAGAUAUGACAUAGAACACCAAUUGCGAAGGCAGCUUACUACACGUACUAUUGACACUGAGGCACGAAAGCGUGGGGAUCAAACAGG